AUUGAACGCUGGCGGCAUGCCUUACACAUGCAAGUCGAACGGUAACGGGCCUUCGGGUGCCGACGAGUGGCGAACGGGUGAGUAAUGCAUCGGAACGUACCUUUCAGUGGGGGAUAACGUAGCGAAAGUUACGCUAAUACCGCAUAUUCUGUGAGCAGGAAAGCAGGGGAGCGCAAGACCUUGCGCUGAUAGAGCGGCCGAAGUCAGAUAAGCUAGUGGGGGAGGUAAAGGCGCACCAAGGCGACGAUCUGUAGCGGGUAUGAGAGGAUGUUGCGCCACACUGGGACUGAGACACGGCCCGGAUUCCUACGGGAGGCAGCAGUGGGGAAUUUUGGACAAUGGGGGCAACCCUGAUCCAGCCAUGCAGCGUGAGUGAAGAAGGCCUUCGGGUUGUAAAGCUCUUUCGGCCGGGAAGAAAUCGCACAGGCUAAUACCUUGUGUGGAUGACGGUACCGGAAUAAGAAGCACCGGCUAACUACGUGCCAGCCGCCGCCGUAAAAC
rnacentral:rRNA from 1 species